GACGAACGCUGGCGGCGUGCCUAAUACAUGCAAGUCGAACGCACAGUUUAUACUGUAGCUUGCUACACCAUUGACGGUGAGUUGCGAACCGGUGAGUAACGCGUAGCUAACCUGCCUGGUAGCUUGUGAUAACUAGGGGAAACGCUAGCUAAUACCUCAUAAUACUAAUUAUUGCAUGAAAAUUAUUUGAAGUGUGCAAUUGCAUCACUACUAGAUAGAUCUUCGUUGUAUUAGCUAGUAGGUGAGGUUACGGCUCACCUAGGUGACGAUACAUAGCCGAAAGGCGAGGGUGAGUAGCCAGACUGGGAAGGAGACACGGCCCAGACGGCUACGGGAGGCAGCAGUAGGGAAACUGGGGCAAUCAGCGAAAGUCUGAGCGAGAAACGCCGCGUGAGUGAAGAACAAUGUCGGAUCGGAAAGCUCGGUUGUAAGAUUAGAACGGGUGUGAGAGUGGAAAGUACACAGAGUGACGGUAUCUGACAAGAAAGCAACGGCUAACUACGUG
rnacentral:rRNA from 1 species